rnacentral:rRNA from 1 species
UACGAAGGGGGCUAGCGUUGUUCGGAAUUACUGGGCGUAAAGCGCACGUAGGCGGACAUUUAAGUCAGGGGUGAAAUCCCGCGGCCCAACCGUGGAACUGCCUUUGAUACUGGCGAACUUGAGUGCGUGAGGGGUAGGGGGAACGAGCAGUGUAGCGGUGAAAUGCGUAGAUAUUGCUCGGAAGGCCAGAGCCGAAGGGGCCCUACUGGUGCGUAACUGACACUGAGGCACGAAAGCGUGGGGAGCAAACAGG